rnacentral:rRNA from 1 species
UACGUAGGGGGCAAGCGUUGUCCGGAAUCAUUGGGCGUAAAGAGCGCGUAGGCGGCCCGACAAGUCCGCUGUGAAAGUCAGGGGCUCAACCCUUGAAUGCCGGUGGAUACUGUCGGGCUAGAGUCCGGAAGAGGCGAGUGGAAUUCCUGGUGUAGCGGUGAAAUGCGCAGAUAUCAGGAGGAACACCGGUGGCGAAAGCGGCUCACUGGAUCUCUUCUGACGCUGAGGCACGAAAGCUAGGGUAGCAAACGGG